CUCCCUGUGGCUCAGUUGGUAGAGCAUGGUGUUUGCAAUGCCAGGAUUGUGGGUUCAAUUCCCAUGGGGGGC
rnacentral:tRNA from 1 species